rnacentral:rRNA from 1 species
CCUACGGGGGGCAGCAGUGAGGAAUAUUGGUCAAUGGACGAGAGUCUGAACCAGCCAAGUAGCGUGAAGGAUGACUGCCCUAUGGGUUGUAAACUUCUUUUAUAAAGGAAUAAAACGAGGCACGUGUGCCUUUUUGCAUGUACUUUAUGAAUAAGGAUCGGCUAACUCCGUGCCAGCAGCCGCGGUAAUACGGAGGAUCCGAGCGUUAUCCGGAUUUAUUGGGUUUAAAGGGAGCGUAGAUGGGUUGUUAAGUCAGUUGUGAAAGUUUGCGGCUCAACCGUAAAAUUGCAAUUGAUACUGGCAGUCGUGAGUACAGUUGAGGUAAGCGGAAUUCGUGGUGUAGCGGUGAAAUGCUUAGAUAUCACGAAGAACCCCGAAUGCGAAGGCAGCUUACUAAACUGUGACUGACAUUGAUGCUCGAAAGUGUGGGUAUCAAACAGGAUUAGAUACCCCAGUAGUC